GCUUGUCUCAAAGAUUAAGCCAUGCAUGUCUAAGUACAAGCCUCAGUAAGGUGAAACCGCGAAUGGCUCAUUAAAUCACACCUAAUCUACUGGAAAGUUACUAGUUACUUGGAUAACUGAGGUAAUUCUUGAGCUAAUACAUGCGAAAAAUCUCGACUCACGGAGAGAUGCUUUUAUUAGAUCAAAACCAAACGGCUUCGGCCGUCUCAUUGGUGAUUCAUGAUAACUUUACGGAUCGCAUGGCCUUGCGCCGGCGACGGUUCAUUCAAAUUUCUGCCCUAUCAACUUUCGAUGGUAAGGUAUUGGCUUACCAUGGUUUCAACGGGUAACGGGGAAUUAGGGUUCGAUUCCGGAGAGGGAGCCUGAGAAACGGCUACCACAUCCAAGGAAGGCAGCAGG
rnacentral:rRNA from 1 species